rnacentral:rRNA from 1 species
CAGCUCUCCGAGUGGUGUGGACGAUUAUUGGGCCUAAAGCAUCCGUAGCCGGCUGAGCAAGUCCCCUGUUAAACCCAACGAUUCAAUCGUUGGCUUGCGGGGGAUACUGCUCGGCUAGGGGGCGAGAGAGGCCGUCGGUAUUCCCGGGGUAGGGGUGAAAUCCUAUAAUCCCGGGAGGACCACCAGUGGCGAAGGCUGUCGGCUAGAACGCGCUCGACGGUGAGGGAUGAAAGCUGGGGGAGCGAACCGGAUUAGAUACCCGGGUAGUCCCAGCUGUAAACGAUGCAGGCUAGGUGUUAGGGCGGCCACGUGCCGCUCUAGUGCCGCAGGGAAGCUGUUAAGCCUGCCGCCUGGGGAGUACGGCCGCAAGGCUG